UUUGUUAGUGGGAGUUAAGCUGAAAGCUGCGCUCGUCUACGUCUCACCUGGGAAAAAUAUGGGAAUCGAGCAAUCCAAGAGCGAAGAGCUGAACAAGGAUGGGUCAGUUCCUGAGGUGCAUGAAAAUGGAUCAGUGAAUGGCAUCACAGCAAGUAUCACACCCAAUGGACUGAAGGCAGAUGUCAAAAGUGAGGUCACUGUCCAACAAAAUGGCAAGCCCCUCUCUUUGAGCCUGUCCACAGAAUCAUCUGGGCCCGAUGGUGUGGUGGUCCAAACCAACACUGAACCUGUGGAGGCUCAGGUCGUCACUGAAAUCCCUGAGACCGUCAACCUGAAGGAGGAGAUCAAGAAGGAAAAAGUCAAGGCCUUUGGUAACAUAUUUAAAAAGAAAGCAGCUGGUGCCAAGAACCUUCAGAAACAAGCUGCCUCAGACGAAGAACUCACGAACGUCGUUGAUCCACAGUUUGAGGCAGGCCAGCAGCAACAACCUGAAUCCUCAUCAACGGAGCCGCUAAGCGCGAGCGCAGCCGCCGAAGAAGCCGACAACGGCAGCAGCCAACCUCAGGAAGAGCAGGAGCAGAGCGACCCCGCGGAGAUUUCAGUUAUGAACUUCUUCAAAACACUAGUGGCUCCCACUAAAACGUCUAAAAAGGAAACCGCUACUCCUGAUGCCUCAAAAGAUCAGGUUGCUCAGGUAUCUGAACCACCUGCAGCACCCAAAGGAAUGUCUAUUCCACCACCACCUCCACCAGAGCCACCGAAAAUGGAAAUCAAAGGCGAACUCGCUGCCAAGUCUGCAAAGCCUGCUCCGAAGGAGGAACCAAAGGCUGCUGCAAAGGAACCCGCGUCUUCGAAGGCAAAGUCAGCCAAGAAUUCAUUCAGCAAAUUGUUCCGCCCAAAGAGCGAAAACAAGGUUGAACCUCAGGAGAUCGCAAAAGAGGUUGAACAGUCAGUGGAACAGGUGGUGGAUGGUUUACAGCAGCUAGUGGUAGAAGCUGAGAGGUUAGAUCCCUCAAAAACUAGCACCCUCGAGGCUGUUGCGAAGCCAGAACCACCACCACCGGCUCAGGAAGAAAAGAAACCGGCUUCAAAAUCACCCUUCGAUCUCUUCAAGCCUAAAACCGGGCCCAAGAAAGCAGCCUCUGCCCCGACUGCAGCGGCUGAAGCGGCCCAACCUGCUAAAGCCAAGGAGGAACCAAAGACUGUGGCCAAGUCCUCUGAGGCAGUUGUAGAAAACAAACAACCUGCAGCGGUCGUUCAAGCUGGAGACACUGGAGCCAGCGUGCCCAAAAAACUGGAGAAGAGGAACUCGAUCCAGCUGUUCUUUAAAAACCUGGUAAACAGAGCAUUGUUUCCUUUCAUAUGGCUUCAUGCAUCCUCCAGAUGGCAGCACAACUCAUUACAACUGAUGCUGAUGUGGUGA
rnacentral:lncRNA from 1 species